UAGGCCGUCAUUGUAAAUAAGAAUUUUACUUGCCUAGUUAAAUAAAGGGUUAAAUAAAUAAGGAAAUAAAAAAAUCAUUGAUUUUAUCACAUUGAUCCUAUUCCAAUUCUCUGCACCUUUUUUUUUCCCCCCGAGCCUGUUCUUAGUUCACAGCUGCAGCAAACAGCCCAGCAAAAUGAGCCAGCAUCAGUCCAGCAAAAUGAGCCAGCAACUGGCCAACAACAGGACAGCAACAGGACAUAUAAAUCAGCCAAAGAGUCUGAACAUUUGUGUUUAGACUUCGAAUUUCCAGACGUAUUAAAAUAAAAACUUUUCCAAAAAUGUGACGAUCUCGCCCUACUGUGCGCUCAAAGUGGAGGCCUCAGAUUGUGCAGGUGUUGUUCGACUUCAUAUGUACUUACACUUGGUGAGUAUAGUUAUGUAGUUACCUGAUCUUAGCUUAAUGUUAAUGACAUACGUUCCUCAGUUAUGAGUCAUAAUGCUUGUGUGUUUAUCAUCCUGAGCCUUGUCUCCGUCCACCAUACUGUCUCGUCAUAAUCACUGCAGCUGAUCGCUUAGCACACUCAACUUUUACAUGAUGCUAAUCAACGCCUUCCAUCAAUGUCAUUUGUAUUACAAACAGAAUUGUUAGUCUCAAUGUAAUCUUGUAUGUUUCUCUUUUGCUUUAGGUACUCCACUACCCGGCAAUACAUGGAUGUGUGCACAGCGCUCAUUCAAAAGUACCCCUCGUUAAAAUACCACACAGGGAAGGGAUAUGUAAGAAUUCUUCAAAUGUCCUACUCACGUUAAUUCACACACUAAUAACCUUUUUACAUCCUUGUGCCAACCCAGACCAUAAUGUGCUGGCUUGGAUAGACCAUCUCAAAUCUGCUCUUCUGACCUCCGUCGAAAUAAUCCGUCAUGACAUUUCUCCUCUCCACAUUACAUUUUUUUAAGGAGUCAUGGCCUGAUAAAGAAUAAAUGCAAAAAAGAAAGGCAGCCACUUGCUCACGUUGCACAAGUACAGGAAAUGCAGAAGAGGUUUGGGAGGCAAGGGGAGAAAAAAAGUCCAGAUGACACCGAAAAUGAAGCCCCGACCAAAAUAGCCAAGGUAUCUGUAUACAAAUAAUGGCCCAUAUUCAGUCGAACCGCUGAUCCCAGAUCAUUUUUUAAGAUCAUAAAUAAUAUUGUAAAGGUGGGGGGACCUGAUCCUAGAUCAGAACUCAGAUGCUUUGUGAAUACGUUUAGCCUUUAUCUAUAAACUUUGCGUUUCACAUCGCAUGUAUCAAUAUUCUAUAUUUACAUGAGAUUUUUUUUCAUUUCGAGACUGGUGAGGAUUCCUUCAGUCAGAAGUUACACGUUGAAAAGAUGCAGGAGUGCCAAAAAAAGAGCAAACAUAUGUUCUCUACAAUACAAAAUGAAAAGGACUGAAAAAGGAAACUUUAUAUAAAACAAAGGCACCAAGGACAUCUUAAAACAGUAGCCAGCACUCCAUUUGUCAGCCAUUGUAAAGUCUAAUAGAAAUAAAUGGUAAAAAGCACAACUAAUGUAGCAUAGCCAAGUACUGUAAUCUGAAUCCAAGAUACAUUGAUGAUGCAUUAUAAACAAACUGACUUUCAGGUUCUCAGAGAUAAGAAGCAAAUUCAGUAUGGAUGUGGACAGGAACAUUCUGUCCAGAUUCGGGCAAAAUGGCCCACAAAAUCAUUGCAGAAACGGAGAGGGGUGUGGCCGUGGAGUUGCUGAAUCUCUACAAGAUGGCACUUCUCUCACACACGGAGGAGGCUCACAAAGGUCUGAAGGUCACUGCAGCCGUUUUGCUCCUCCCCUACCUCUUCAAAGAAAAUCCGAGUGGGCUGUACAUCUCAGACCAGUGUGUAAAGUUCCCAUCAUCUACCAUAAGAAUAGAGGGAAAAACUCUUUGCGGAUGAGAGCCACAUCCAACUCUUCCUGGAUGGAGAGGAGCUACUUACUGAAGAGCCGGUGGACAUCUCCAUGGGGAUGCAUUUCCCUUCUAAUAUUGAGUAUGCAGCAUCAGUGAAAAGAACAAUGCUGUUCAUUCCGACAUCUUCUGGGAAUUGAUGAGGGGAUAAAUGAUCAACAAAUAUUGAAUGUAUGAAUGGCAAACUUUUUGCUGUAGUGCGAGAUAGGGGAGACCAGAGAUUCCUGUGAUGUCUGCA